UGGGGAAUUUUGGACAAUGGGCGAAAGCCUGAUCCAGCAAUGCCGCGUGUGUGAAGAAGGCCUUCGGGUUGUAAAGCACUUUUGUCCGGAAAGAAAUCCUUGGCUCUAAUACAGUCGGGGGGUUACGGUACCGGAAGAAUAAGCAUCGGCUAACUACGUGCCAGCAGCCGCGGUAAUACGUAGGGUGCAAGCGUUAAUCGGAAUUACUGGGCGUAAAGCGUGCGCAGGCGGUUUGCUAAGACCGAUGUGAAAUCCCCGGGCUCAACCUGGGAACUGCAUUGGUGACUGGCAGGCUAGAGUAUGGCAGAGGGGGGUAGAAUUCCACGUGUAGCAGUGAAAUGCGUAGAGAUGUGGAGGAAUACCGAUGGCGAAGGCAGCCCCCUGGGCCAAUACUGACGCUCAUGCACGAAAGCGUGGGGAGCAAACAGGAUUAGAUACCCUGGUAGUCCACGCCCUAAACGAUGUCAACUAGUUGUUGGGGAUUCAUUUCCUUAGUAACGUAGCUAACGCGUGAAGUUGACCGCCUGGGGAGUACGGUCGCAAGAUUAAAACUCAAAGGAAUUGACGGGGUCAUAGCUGUUUCCU
rnacentral:rRNA from 1 species